rnacentral:lncRNA from 1 species
AGCUUCGUUCAGGCCCGGCCGGGACUUGAUCAUCCUGGAAAUUAUAUCGCUGGCUCGUCCCACUUGGGGGAAAGCCAAUUACCUGGACUGGGAGCCAUUGGCAUCUCGUCCGGCCUCCCGCAGCCAGACAGGAACCCUGAGCUUCUGCUUCCAGCCUGGCCUGGCCUGUCCUAGAGAGUCCGCCUGGGUGAGGGGAGAGCCAGCCUGCGAGGGGCCCCUCCCACCUGGCCUUUCCUGUGGGGCUGCAGUGGAACCUUCUCAUUUGCCUGAAAUGGAAAAAAGUCAAGCCCCGCAGCAGAAAAUGUCCGGGACCCUCCGCAAAGCGACCCAGAAGUUGAGUCCCAGACCCCUUGGAGCGGGAACCGUUGGCCUGAGAAGCUUGAGGAUCACGUUCAAUUCAUCAUUAUUUGGCGCCCUGAUUGACUUGCCCGCGUGGAGACUUCUCGCGGCUGUGCCUGGUCCUCCCGGCCCAGUUCUGGCCGCGCGCGCGCGCACCCCUCGCCCAGCUUAAUUGACUGUGUCUCUAACCCGCCACGAGGUGCAGCUUCUAAUGAUGAAUAAACAACGGUGCGCGAUUACCGGCGAAAUUACC